AAACUCAACAUCUUCAAUUCUGCUCUCUCUCUCUCCAUUUUUUUCCCUCAAGCCUUCUUCAGCUUUACAAGCCCUAGAGAGAGAAAAAAACAACACACACAAGCUUUUGUAUUUCUCUCAUAUCUCUCUACUCUUUGUUUCGGAAUCACGUUGUUUUGAUUGAAAAACAUUGAAAAUCCGGCUUGUCUGAGGGUGUGUAUCCCGAAUUGGAAACUCAUAACUACAGAAUGAGCACCAGGGGAUUAAGGGCACCUGCUCUAAGAGGGUAUGUGAGGAACACAAGGAGGAGGAAGAUGGUACUAGAUGUAGACCUCAAUGUGCCACCUAUUGAGAAUCGAGAUCAGGAGGGCACUUCAGCUCAUGCCAACUCUCAGGAUAUGGAGCCUGGCCAACAAGGAGGACCGGUACCACCUGCACCAAUUGAUGUCGAUGACUUGGAUGAUGAUGUUGUUAUAUCCACCUCCAGGGCCUUUGCAGAAGCUAAAAACAAUUCCAGAAGAAAUCGUGGAAGCACCAUUGUAGUUGAUGUUGAUUCAGAAGAAAGGAUGUCUAGGGUUGCUUCCAACACUCGCAACAAGCGUAGAAGAGUGAAUACAAAUCAAACAAUAAUAAAUUGUGACCUUUACAUUAACCUGGAGGGUACUAGCAACUCUAUGUUUCUUGCACAUCUAUAUGCUGUCCAGGGAUCAAUAGGGUUGGGAGAAUGCGUAGCGCUCUCCCUCUUGAAAGAGAAUGUUCAGUGUGUGAAACCAUCCCCACCACCACCCAAGGAACCCACAUUCAACUGUCCCGUAUGCAUGGGCCCAUUGGUUGAAGAGAUGUCGACCAAGUGUGGCCAUAUUUUCUGUAAGACCUGCAUCAAGGCUGCAAUAGCUGCACAGGGUAAAUGUCCUACUUGUCGGAGAAAAGUCACCACCAUGAAAGAGACCAUUCGUAUCUAUCUUCCUAGAGCCAAUUGAGCAAGCAGACUUGAGACAUUUUAAUCUCUUAUGCUGUGCGGAACUAUAUUGUAUGUCUUCUCCAUGUUUUCACGAGCUUCUGCGUUUUUUGCUUUCAAUGUUGAGCAGGAAGGUGCAUACAGACUGUUUUGCAGCAUUGUGAGGGAAUCAAACAUUGGUUUGGGACAUUGUUAUCUUUAGAGUUAUAAACUGUAAGUUUUAAGUUAAAAUGACAUUGGGUUUUGGUCUGAAACCAGUACUUUUGGUCAAUGGAGACAUUGGGUGGUUGUUUUAGAUUGCUGUAAUGUCCAAUUUUCUAUACAUCUAAAGCAAGAUAAGUUAGUAAAAA